CAAGGGACGUUCCUGAGGCGACAGUACAGCACUCGGGUCAGACCCCGGGCUCCUGCAGGGGGCCGCUCCGGUAGGGCUGACAGCGACUGUUCUAACCAGCGCAGGCGCGCUGUGGAAACCGUGCUCCGGGUCUUUGGGACCUCCCUCCCAAGGUCCCCGCAGGGCGCAGCGAGGAAGGUCUCGGUCGGAGGUGGCUCGCUAGGGUGCACAGACCCAGCCAGACUCGGUUGUCACCACGUAGAGCCGAGCUCCAGAGUCGUAGGCCACGGCCCCUCCGCAAGUCCUCGUCUCUCUGGCAGAGACCCGGAGGUCGGUGGGCGCCCGUCACAUGCCAGCCCUCGGCCCCGAAGGUGACACAGCGAAACAGUUUUUAAGGGCACUCCAAGUGAGUCGUCAGAGAAUAUGGCAGAUUCAGGCUCCAGUGCCAAGAGGAGCCACACUGCAGUCCAGAAAAACCCAGGAAAUCUGAAGACCCUUCAAAUAACUGCCCUCC